AAUGAACGCUGGCGGCAUGCCUAAUACAUGCAAGUCGAGCGAAAGCACGGGAAGCUUUCGCCCCUGAUGGUAGCGGGGGACGGAAGAGUAACACGUGGAUAGCAUACCUAUAAGACGGGGGUAACAACGGGAGACAAGAUCUACUACCGGAUAAUAUUUCGAACCGGAUGGGGCAAAAGUGAAAGAAGCUCUUGGUGUGACUAAUAGACGAAUCCGCGCUGCAUUAGCUGGUUGGUAAGGUAACGGCUUACCCAGGCAACGAUGCAGAGCCGACCUGAGCGGGUGAUCGGCCACACUGGCACUGAGACACGGUCCAGACUCCUGCGGGAGGCAGCAGUCGGGACUCUUCCGCAAUGGGCGAAAGCCUGACGUAGCAACACCGCGUGAGUGAUGAAGGACUUCGGAUCGUAAAGCUCUGUUGUUAGUAAAGAACAUAUGUUUAUUUAACCGUGAUCAUCAUGACGGUACCGAAAGAGUAAGCCCCGGCUAACUACGUG
rnacentral:rRNA from 1 species